rnacentral:tRNA from 1 species
UGCUGUAGCUUAUUAACCUAAAAGCAUAGCACUGAAAAUGCUAAGAUGGACAAACCCUCCAACAA